UGGGGAGCGACCGUUGGGGAGCGACCGUUAGGGGGCAGCCGUUGGAGGGCGGCCGUGAGGGGGCGGCCCCGGGCUCUGCGCCCCCUGAGGAGCGGCGCUGGGGCGCCGAGGGGAAGAAGAGGAGGGAGGAGGCAGCCCCAUGGCGGAGGGGCUGGCUUUCGAGGCGCAGGGGCAGCGAGGGUUGGCUCAAAAUCCCCCCCCCGGUGAGGGCACUGCCGUGUCCCGAGCGUGGUGUGUGACCUGCUGGUCGGGAUUGCAAGGUGAGAUUGCAACUUUCGCCUUCACUCGGCGUUUCCCCCUGAAUUGCCCGCUUUUUCUUCAUGCGGGCAUACAGGCAGCUCGGGAAUGUAAAAGAGUUGCAGAAAUACUGCUUCUCCACAGUGUCACAGCUAUCGACUUAACCCCACGGAUCACCUCUUGAAGGGCACAUGUGUGUCACAGUCUUGUCUUUAGGCUUGCCAGUAACAUUUCUCAGUGUCACUCUUCUUACAGUGCUGUGGCUAAACUUUAGCCUCAUAUCAUCUGCCUGCGUUAUCAGUGUGGCACCUUUAAAAAGUAAGGUAGGCAAUGAAUGCCUGGUGGUGAUGGCCAGUUUCAGUUGCAGAGGAUGCAGUUCUUACUGCACUUCUGUCUGUUCGCCCCUGCUCAGACCCCACACGCAUGGAAGUGUUGUGCACAUCUGGAACUUAAAGGAGAUCAGCAGAGCCAUUCAGCUGCAGGGACUGCUUUUCUGGAUCGAGUCACUGGCAGGCACAGAGUUUCGUUAUGCCUGAAUAAUUUAUGAUCUAAUUUACGAUCCGAUACUUCUGUGAUACCCUCUGCAGAUAGAAAAUACGCAGUAAUGCCAAGAAGAUGGUCUUGUAACCUAGAAGGAUAAUCAGUAUGUCUUGAAAUCUCAAGUCGAACUACUGAGAUUUUUCAAGUUGAUUUUGAAUGAUUAUGAAUACCUGUGCUUAUUAUGAAUUACAGGACCUGCAUCAACUAAUACUUGCUAAAUUUGUCUUGUAUAGUAGGUUUUCAUUUUUCCCUUCCUUUUUUUUUUCCUCUCUCUUUUUUUUUUUUUUUCUUUUUCUAUUUCCCCGUGUGUUCACUCACUUGGCUAAUUUUUUGAAAGGUAGUUGCAAAAUUAGUUUCCACACCCUAAUUGUAACGGAUCACUUGUUUCUGUUGAGAGAUGAUGAAUUUCUUCGCUAAAUGUGGGUCUGGAUCUCUCUCUUUAAUGCAUGUUUUUUUUAAGUUGAAAGAAUGAUUGGACCAAGGCAUGGUAGUGUUAAGUUCUUAAGCUAAGAUAUAAAUGGACUUCUAAGUGAAAACUACCAUGUCUGUUCCAUCAGGUUUCUUUCAAAGUGCAUGACAGGUCCAAAAAAAGAAAUGCAAAGGGAAAAGUUGAUCUUAGUUUUAAAGCUGACCUCUGUAAGUUUGAAUACAUCUACUUGUGCUGUCAAAAUGUUAUUGCAACAGAAGAAUGAAUUUCAAAGUGUUCUUGCUGAUUUAUAACCUUUAUUUUGCCUUUUGUAAAAGUAUACCAGAGGUAUUAUUAGCCUUUCUUUUAUCUCUGUUAGAUCAGGGCCAGACUUAGGGCUAUGUGUAAACAGAUCAAAGUGAUGGUUUUGUUCCGCUUGUUAUUGCGUGAUUGCUAACUUAUCAAAGCUUUACACAAUCAGAUUAAUCCACUCCCGGAUUCAUUUCAUUCAUUGGGCUCUUGGGAAUGUUGUUGGCAACACCAUGGGAACUGGUGAUUCUCAUCCUUAGGGAACUGGUAUUUCAAAUGACUCUGGAAGACGAAUGCAGAUGAAAAAGAAAAUGAAUUCAGUGGCUGAAAUAAACAGUUUGGGCAUGCUGAAGUGUGUGGGAUUGCUUUACUUUUUUUUUUUUUUUCUGUGCUAAGACGUAACGCAGUGUUAUAAAAGUUUGAGCACUUAGUCUGACAAUGAGUAAAGCUAACAGGUGUGUUUCUGCAUUUAGCUUGCUGCCCAACAGACUGAGAUCAGCUCUCACCUUUGUAUUAACUGUUUUAAUCAAACUAUUUCAUUCAGCCCAACCUCUGUAAUAGAAGUUUGCUAAUAAAAUGUAAACUCCACAAUGCUUUUUAUUACAUUGGUAAUAAAAAUAACAAAAUACAUUUCUUCUGAAAUAUACCUUUUAACCAGAAAAAUAAACAUA